rnacentral:lncRNA from 1 species
AUGUAUUGACAAUAAUUAUGGGAGUUGACAGAGAGGAUCGACUGAUGCCUGAUUGGUAAGAUUAAAUGGGUCUAAUCACCCAGUCUGUUGGUUGAGGGUGAUCUAGCUUGAUGCGGAUCAACUCAAGUGUGAAGCCCCUAUGUUUAGUAGAUAAAGACUAAUAAACCCCACCUCCCAAUGGGUAUUUACCUUUUGAAAAGUUGGUUAGGAGCUACGGUCCUAAUAGUUGGUAUCAGAGUAAGGUCGCAGGUUCAAAACUCAAUAGGCCUCC